ensembl:lncRNA
AAGCAUUAAAAUGUGCCUUUAUUGCAUUUUCACAAAUAGGGUAAAGGUUUCACAAAUCUGAAACUAUGUUUUACAUAAUGUAUAGCCUCACUGUGAUCAUUUAGUCCAGAUUUGAAGAGUCUAGGUGUAGUGGUUUUCAAUCAGGAUCAGUUCUAAUGCGGUCUGGACCCCUAAAAAGCAUUAAAAUGUGCCUUUAUUGCAUUUUCACAAAUAGGGUAAAGGUUUCACAAAUCUGAAACUAUGUUUUACAUAAUGUAUAGCCUCACUGUGAUAAUUUAGUCCAGAUUUGAAGAGUCUAGGUGUAGUGGUUUUCAAUCAGGACCCGUUCUAAUGCAGUCUGGACCCCUAAAAAGCAUUAAAAUGAGCCUGUAUUGCAUUUUCACAAAUAGAAAAAAGGUUUCACAAAUCUGUAACUAUGUUUUAUAUAAUGUAGAGCCUCACUGUGAUAAUGUAGUCCA